CUCAUCAGAAAACGUUCAGUGGCAACGUUGGUCCACUUGGAACGACGUUACCAUCUCACAAUCUGGCCUCUCAGAGUGUGAGAUGGUAACAUUUUGUCAGCCCAUUGUUUUGCAUUGGCGUGUUCUCACGUCACGUGACUCACAAGCUCCCGUCUGCGGAGAGGAAAACAUGGCGGAUAUUCCUUGUUCUCUCAGAUAAAAAUAUAGUUUUGUAACUUAGUUUGGGCAUAAAAAUACAUUCUGACACCAUUUCUAGCGAGAAAUGUGCUCUUUGCUUCCACAGUCUUCAGCCAGUUCGUGCUUAUGAUAAAUAUUUUAAUAGUUAUCGCGAAUGUUUUUAUCGUUGCUAUGAGGGUUGCUAUGACGCUGCCAUGCCAGCACGGCGCAGCGUGCUGUUAAAAUCACCGUCCCUGCGUGGUGUCCCUCAGUGAUCGUGAAUGUUAUUCACGUUAUAUAAUAUUAAUAUUUGAGGCUAGAUUACACCUCUAAUGCGAAGGAUCCUGCGAGACCGUUCAUCCCGAAGGGGGACCGACUGCGCCACGGACGGACCAGGCGAGCGGAACUGACGUGUGGCUUUUAGUAAACAUCCGGUUCUUUAACUCGGGGCUGCGUAGUAACCACCGAGCGCUGGGAAGACAAACGAUGUCAUCUUCCUUCUGUCAGGACGAUCCAAGUGAAGGUACAGGAGUUUCAUUAACGUCAAUAACUUGGACCGAACACUUUGUUUUGCUUGAUGAAGAGCAGGAAGGGCAGCCUGGAGAGAAAGAGAAGCCGGGUUGAGCCCACUACCAUCAUCCACGUACCACGAGGAAGAUGCGGGAGAGAAAUGAUCCUACCAUUAAAGAGACUGUGAAAAGAGCGUUGAGAACAUCACCACUCUACAGGAAGACACAGUCCAGUAAUGGGUGUCAGAAGUUCAGUAGUGAAUGACAGGAAGGACUGAUGCAUGUACUGAGACGGGACGUGAGGGCCUACUCUGCGUGCUCAGAGUUCAAGCCCAGCAGGGUGCAGCGGGCCUGACAUAUUCCGGAACAGCAGCACAGUCUUUGGAUGACUCCUCUGAAGAUGAAAACAUGGCGAGGUACUUCUCCACUGAUGAAGAACUGUGAGGGCUGUGAUUAGCUACACUCUCUUGCUACAAGGCUACUCUUGCUACUCCCUGGCAGCCUUAGGAAGGCAUUAGCUUGCUGUUGGGUAGCUUCCCUGGAAGCAUACGUGUGUAUGUAUACAUACACACGUACAAACGCACUAUUGAGACGUUUUGUUUUUUAUCAUAUAUUCUCAGGAAGGACUGAUGCAUGUACUGAGACGGGACGUGAGGGCCUACUCUGCGUGCUCAGAGUUCAAGCCCAGCAGGGUGCAGCGGGCCUGACAUAUUCCGGAACAGCAGCACAGUCUUUGGAUGACUCCUCUGAAGAUGAAAACAUGGCGAGUUCUUCUCAAGAGAAGCAGUACAGGUGUGCCUCAGCUCCACGGUCCCUCCUGCAGCCUCCGCUCCUGAUGCUAACCUCAUGUCUCCAUCACACCAAGCAGCAGACCUGGAGUGACAGACCUUUCUCCAGAGCUGCUCCCUCCCUCUGAAACCCCCCUCUCCAAAACACUAUUUGUGGCGUUUUUAAAGUCUUAUUUGCAUGAGAAUUGUUGAUCAUAACAUUUCCAGCAGAUGCCUUAAUGUAAUGUUUUUGAACAAUAAAUGACAUUUAUCAUAA